GCCCCAGACACCAGCCAAGGAGGCUGGAAGGCCAACCAAGCUCCAACCACUGGGCGUCCCAUCGCAGCGUGGCUUUACUGCUAACGUUGGCAUUGCUGUUUGGCUGUUUGUGCCAGGGGUUCUGUUCAAAACCAAGCUCUUAGAAGAAUUUGGAGGAAAUUAUGACUGCAACCAUGUCUUUAAGCAGCUAACCCUGGAGAGAGAAUGGACCAAGCUAAACAUUAAUCAUUGCUGCUGGUAGGCCUCUGACAGCACAAGGUGGUGAGCCUGUCUUUCAGAAACCACCUAGCUGGGUUCAAAACCAAGCCCAUCAUGUAGAAGCUAUGUGAUCUUGAAGAAGUUAAUUAGACUCUCUGAACCUUUUUUUCUUUAUCCACCAAUAAAAAGAAUCUCACCAACCUCCCAGGGUUGUAGGUCCAAGUGUAUAAUGUACAAAUGAAUAAAUUAAGGCAGUCUC
rnacentral:antisense_RNA from 1 species